UACAGGGGGUGCAAACGUUGCUCGGAAUCAUUGGGCGUAAAGCGCACGUAGGCGGUUCGUUAUGUCGGAUGUGAAAGCCCUUGGCUUAACCGAGGAAGUGCAUCCGAAACUGGCGAGCUAGAGUACUAAAGAGGAUCGCGGAAUUCCCGGUGUAGAGGUGAAAUUCGUAGAUAUCGGGAGGAACACCGGUGGCGAAGGCGGCGAUCUGGGUAGAUACUAACGCUGAGGUGCGAAAGCGUGGGGAGCAAACAGGG
rnacentral:rRNA from 1 species